rnacentral:rRNA from 1 species
AUCGGUGCUUGCACUGAGAUUCAACAUGCGAACGAGUGGCGGACGGGUGAGUAACACGUGGGUAACCUGCCCUUAAGUGGGGGAUAACAUUUGGAAACAGAUGCUAAUACCGCAUAGAUCCAAGAACCGCAUGGUUCUUGGCUGAAAGAUGGCGUAAGCUAUCGCUUUUGGAUGGACCCGCGGCGUAUUAGCUAGUUGGUGAGGUAAUGGCUCACCAAGGCGAUGAUACGUAGCCGAACUGAGAGGUUGAUCGGCCACAUUGGGACUGAGACACGGCCCAAACUCCUACGGGAGGCAGCAGUAGGGAAUCUUCCACAAUGGACGCAAGUCUGAUGGAGCAACGCCGCGUGAGUGAAGAAGGCUUUCGGGUCGUAAAACUCUGUUGUUGGAGAAGAAUGGUCGGCAGAGUAACUGUUGUCGGCGUGACGGUAUCCAACCAGAAAGCCACGGCUAACUACGUGCCAGCAGCCGCGGUAAUACGUAGGUGGCAAGCGUUAUCCGGAUUUAUUGGGCGUAAAGCGAGCGCAGGCGGUUUUUUAAGUCUGAUGUGAAAGCCCUCGGCUUAACCGAGGAAGCGCAUCGGAAACUGGGAAACUUGAGUGCAGAAGAGGACAGUGGAACUCCAUGUGUAGCGGUGAAAUGCGUAGAUAUAUGGAAGAACACCAGUGGCGAAGGCGGCUGUCUGGUCUGUAACU